rfam:Triticum urartu cultivar G1812 contig315338, whole genome shotgun sequence.
UAUUUACUCCCUCCGUCCCAAAAUUCUUAUUUUAGAUUUGUCUAAAUACGGAUGUAUCAAGUCACUUUUUAGUAUUAGAUAUAUCCAUAUCAAGACAAAUCUAAGACAAAAAUUUUGAAACGGAGGGAAUACAAU